AGUGAACGCUGGCGGUGGGCCUAACACAUGCAAGUCGAACGGCAGCACAGUAAGAGCUUGCUCUUACGGGUGGCGAGUGGCGGACGGGUGAGGAAUACAUCGGAAUCUACUUUUUCGUGGGGGAUAACGUAGGGAAACUUACGCUAAUACCGCAUACGACCUACGGGUGAAAGCAGGGGAUCUACGGACCUUGCGCGAUUGAAUGAGCCGAUGUCGGAUUAGCUAGUUGGCGGGGUAAAGGCCCACCAAGGCGACGAUCCGUAGCUGGUCUGAGAGGAUGAUCAGCCACACUGGAACUGAGACACGGUCCAGACUCCUACGGGAGGCAGCAGUGGGGAAUAUUGGACAAUGGGCGCAAGCCUGAUCCAGCCAUACCGCGUGGGUGAAGAAGGCCUUCGGGUUGUAAAGCCCUUUUGUUGGGAAAGAAAAGCAGCAGGUUAAUACCCCGCUGUUCUGACGGUACCCAAAGAAUAAGCACCGGCUAACUUCGUG
rnacentral:rRNA from 1 species